AACGAACGCUGGCGGCAUGCCUAACACAUGCAAGUCGAACGAGACCUUCGGGUCUAGCGGCGCACGGGUGCGUAACGCGUGGGAACCUGCCCUUAGGUUCGGAAUAACUCCCCGAAAGGGGUGCUAAUACCGGAUAAUGUCUUCGGACCAAAGAUUUAUCGCCUUUGGAUGGCCCGGCGUUGGAUUAGCUAGUUGGUAGGGUAAAAGCCUACCAAGCCGACGUUCCAUAGCUGGUUUGAGAGGAUGAUCAGCCACACUGGGACUGAGACACGGCCCAGACUCCUACGGGAGGCAGCAGUGGGGAAUAUUGGACAAUGGGCGAAAGCCUGAUCCAGCAAUGCCGCGUGAGUGAUGAAGGCCUUAGGGUUGUAAAGCUCUUUUACCCGGGAUGAUAAUGACAGUACCGGGAGAAUAAGCUCCGGCUAACUCCGU
rnacentral:rRNA from 1 species